UUUCACCCUCCGAGGACAGAACAGGACUCUUUGGGAGGCGGUCACGAAGGUAAAGGAGGGUCCCACAGAAGUACGUACCUCAAUGGCUUUUGCUGCUUGCUCUUUUGUUUCAAAUUCCACAAAGGCAAAUCCCUUAGGAUCCCCAGUAGACUUGUAAUGUGGAAUACUUAUGUAAACCACAUUGCCACAUUUCCCAAAUACUCUCUCAAUCCAGCUAUGAGUAACAUUUUUGGGGAGCAACUCCUGUAAUAAAUCAUGGUAUGAACAUUUUAAAGUUCCUACAUUUUUACCAAUAAAUGAAUUAUAAAUAAAUGAACUAGAAUUAAAA